GGCCGAAAGGCGUAAUCGAUGGGAAACAGAUUAAUAUUUCUGUACUUCCGCUAACUGCGAUGGAGAGACGGAGAAGGCUAGGCUAGCGCGGCGUUGGUAGUCCGCGUUUAAGGUGGUAGGUGGGUGACUUAGGCAAAUCCGGGUCACUAUACACUGAGAGCUGAUGACGAGUCCCCAAGGGGAUGAAGUAGUUGAUGCCAUGCUUCCAGGAAAAUCUUCUAAGCUUCAGGUUAGCGGGAAUCGUACCCCAAACCGACACAGGUGGUCGGGUAGAGAAUACCAAGGCGCUUGAGAGAACUCGGCUGAAGGAACUAGGCAAAAUGGUACCGUAACUUCGGGAGAAGGUACGCUCUUGUUGGUGAUGAGACUUGCUCUCUAAGCUGACGGGAGUCGCAGAUACCAGGUGGCUGCAACUGUUUAUCAAAAACACAGCACUGUGCAAACU
rnacentral:rRNA from 1 species